rnacentral:rRNA from 1 species
UACGUAGGGUGCGAGCGUUAAUCGGAAUUACCGGGCGUAAAGUGUGCGCAGGUGGCCGCGCAAGUCGAGUGUGAAAUCCCCGAGCUUAACUUGGGAAUUGCGCUCGAAACUACGUGGCUCGAGUGUGGCAGAGGAAGGUGGAAUUCCACGUGUAGCGGUGAAAUGCGUAGAGAUGUGGAGGAACACCGAUGGCGAAGGCAGCCUUCUGGGCCAACACUGACGCUCAUGCACGAAAGCGUGGGGAGCAAACAGG